GAUGAACGCUGGCGGCGUGCUUAACACAUGCAAGUCGAACGGAAAGGCCCAAGCUUGCCUGGGUACUCGAGUGGCGAACGGGUGAGUAACACGUGGGUGAUCUGCCCUGCACUUCGGGAUAAGCCUGGGAAACUGGGUCUAAUACCGGAUAGGACCACUUCUUGGAUGUUGUGGUGGAAAGUUUUUUCGGUGUGGGAUGAGCUCGCGGCCUAUCAGCUUGUUGGUGGGGUAAUGGCCUACCAAGGCGUCGACGGGUAGCCGGCCUGAGAGGGUGUACAGCCACAUUGGGACUGAGAUACGGCCCAGACUCCUACGGGAGGCAGCAGUGGGGAAUAUUGCACAAUGGGCGCAAGCCUGAUGCAGCGACGCCGCGGGGGGGAGGACGGCCUUCGGGUUGUAAACUCCUUUCGCUAGGGACGAAGCGUUUUGUGACGGUACCUGGAGAAGAAGCACCGGCUAACUACGUG
rnacentral:rRNA from 1 species